CCAGACAUUACAGUCAAUUUAGAUGAGGACUUCACCAUCAUCUGUUUGAUUCAUGGAUCCUUAAGUCCUGACACCACCUGUAACCUGUAUGUUGGAGAGGAGAGUCAGCCAUCCUUCACAGCACCGAUCAAGAAGAGAAAAGCCAUCUCAGCAUCCGGACAGCAGUUCUGUCAAUUCACUCCAAAACAUAGUGAUCUGAUCAGUCGUCUACAGUCAGUGAGGCGUAAGGAGGUGAGCUGUGGCUACAGAUUGAGCUCAGGACCAAACUCUCUCUCUCCACGCAGUGAUGGGCACAGCUUUACAGAUCUGGUGGGAGUUCACAUCAGUGAUCCAACAACUAUACAGACACCUUCUAUAGCAGUGAGUUUGACUCCAGGUCCUAGAUCUACUUUGCCUCCCAGCACGACAGUGAGUCCUACAGAAG